UACGUAGGGUGCGAGCGUUGUCCGGAAUUAUUGGGCGUAAAGGGCUCGUAGGCGGUUUGUCGCGUCGGGAGUGAAAUCAUCUGGCUUAACUGGGUGCUUGCUUUCGAUACGGGCAGACUAGAGGUAUGCAGGGGAGAACGGAAUUCCUGGUGUAGCGGUGAAAUGCGCAGAUAUCAGGAGGAACACCGGUGGCGAAGGCGGUUCUCUGGGCAUGAUCUGACGCUGAGGAGCGAAAGUGUGGGGGGCAAACAGG
rnacentral:rRNA from 1 species